UGUCAUUUCUUUCAAACAGGAUGGAACAGUGUUGUGGAACAACAAACCCACUAUCAUUCAGAUAGAGAGCUCACCAAUCCUACUGACUGCAGUACACCCGUCAACAUAUCGUGUCUGUUCCACUGAUUGCAAGUCAGUCAUACCAUAGUCAUAUUCACUUCUAGUUCUGAAAGACUGAAGCACCAGAUAUCAAAAAGGAGUGGAAGUUCAGGAGCUGCUGAGACUCUACAGCUAACACUUCCUGAGGCUCUGCUCUUCAAGAUAUUUCAGCUAUAACUUGUCAACUGGAUAAGGAAGAAGGCCUAUUGUAUACUUCAACUUUGAAGAAGGUUAAUUAUGACUUUUUAUCCUUUUCUGAUGUUCAUACCCUGAUAAAAUUUUGUAAUAUACUGUCUAUUAUUUUUUUUCCCCAAUAAAUUCUGUUACUGUCUCUAUUUUCAUUUGGCAUAAGAAAAGGAUCAUUUCAAGAGCCAUGACUGAAAUCAAGUCCCUCCUCUCUUCCAGGUGUCGUUGGUCAAUGGAGCAUUAGUAGACUGUCAUCCUAAUACAUUUCCCUGGAGUACCUAGAGAAUAGUAAAAUACAGCUGAACUGAAUGGCAUAGGCUGUUCUAAGAAUUAUGUAGUACUGACCUGUAGAGACAGCAUUACUUAGCAUUACCCAAGAAAUUUCAUGGACCACAAGAGAGGCUAUGAACCACAAAGGUCACAAAUUACUUUUCAACACCAUUUUAUCUUGGAAAAUAGACAUGAGGGAAGUUGCAGUUCCCUCAGUUUCCUACACUGUCUGCAAGUCAACUGUACUGCAGAAAGCGACUGAAGUAUGAGAGACUCUCAUUCCUACCCUUACUCCAGUUUAUUUUAUGAGGUAUAACAUAUUCACCUAUUCAGGCUUCCUCAGUUCCAGUGGCCAUCAUUUACAGACGACAAAACCAAGACAACAGGAAAUGGAAGUUGUUACCUGGACCAAAACUGUGUGAUUUAAUAUAGUGAGGUCAUGUUCCUCUUGUCAGUACAGCUGCAUAGGGACAUAGGCAACCUUUGUCUCAUCCAGUGGGUAUGAAAUACUGGGCCAAUAAUCUACACCGAUACAGACAUAUACUGCCAAUACUUUGUUUUCACUGGGAGUUAUUGAUUCCUCAGAGGAGUUUGUUAACACUUGAUAGAGUUCAGACUUUGCUUGAUAAUAAUAUAUUUUGAUUACAUCUCUUGCCAAAACUAGCUUUCAGUGCUUUUGGAUUUUAAAGGAAAACUUUUUAGGAAUAGAACAUACUUCCUGAAUUCUACUUUGCCUCCUUUUUUUUUUUUUUUCACAGCAAGUAGAAUCUCUGUGGUAGAUACAAUUCUUCCAUGGAGAGUUUCACUGAAAAUAUAAGAACAUUUCUAAGAAUAGUCUUGACAGCUAUGUCAUGAAUAGAAGUGCAUAGGACAUUGGCUUCUUCAGUCUCAGUUAAUAAUGCCAUAUCCCUUAGAAAUUUGCAACAGCCUGCUUUGAUUGUUACUAUAAGCCUUUAGGUGUCAGAUGACUCUCUCUUAGGAAGGCUGUACUUGCCAAUUUUUUACAGAGUAGACUCAAUUUCACUGUAUUGGAAAAGUCCACUCUCCCUCUCCUAGAGACAUUAUUAAUUGGCCAAGCUUUGACAUCACAGCACAUACACAGAGAAGGGAGAAGAAGUUGCUAAGAAGCAAACGCACCUUGUACAAAUAAUUCCAACUUUAUUCCCUCCCAGGAAAGAAGAAAGUUGCAUUUUGUACGCACAAAUUACACAGCUUUAGAGUAGCUUGGUAACAUAGUUAUAGUCAGUCCACCAUAACUUUUUUUGCCUUCCAUGAGUUAGAACCCAUAUAGACUAUAUGCCCUCUCUGCUCAAGUGUCUUCUGCCAGAAAGCAGUUGAACACGCAUGAUAGCGUACCAAGGCAAACAAAACGCUCAGUUUUCCCUGCCUGUGGCUUGGAAACAAUUUUUACCAUCAGAGGGAGAAGAAGGACAUCCACUGAGUUCUCUAAGACUCUCUGCCCCAGAGAGACUUAGAGAACCUACUAAGGGAAAAUAACAUAAUUAUGGUUUGAUUUGCUCACCUGGACAUGAUUUAAUCCUUGUGGAUGUUUUAUGGGAGUGGUUUUGUCUGUUUCUUUAGUCAGUCUCUAAGAAGUUGUGCUUACACUACACUGAUUGCAUAUGUCGGAUUAUUUUGCUUUUAAAGAUCACUGUUUUACUGGAAAUCCCUUUCCAGGAAUCAAGCAGUAUAAUUUUUACUCCUGUGAGAUAAGUUACAAUAGUGUGAAUACCAAGCACAUCCUUAUGAAUGUCAGAGCUCUGGAGGCACAGAUAUUGCAGCACGUGUCAGAACAAAAUUAUAUUAACUAUGUGUUCCAACAUUUAUUCCAAAUCUAACCAGUAUAUGUCUUUUACUUCUUUAGGUCUGUGAAACUGCUCCAGUCUUAAUAAAAAAUUCCUCUUCUCGCUUUAGGACAGUGUCAUUGUUUCAUCCUGGCCAGCAAAUACCACACAGCCUCUUGCUCACUUCCCUCCUCACUCUUCCUCAGUGUAGAGAAAAACUGGAAAAAAGGAAGUCUUGUGCAUUGAGAUAAGAACAGUUUAAUAACUGAAACAAAUGAAAUAUUAAAAUUACAAUAAUAGUAAUAAUAAUAAUUUUAAUUAAAAGGAGAGAACGGAAUAACACCUCAGAGAAAAAGGUGGUAUACAAUACAGUUGCUCACCACCUGCUGAUUAUUCCUAAGCAGUAAUCAGCACCUUCUGAGCAACUCCCCCAUUUUAUAUACUGGGCAUGACAUUUUAUGGUAUGGAAUAGUGCUUGGCCAGUUUGGGUCAGUUGUCCUGGCCAUGCUCCCUCCCAGCUUCCUGUGCACCUGCUUGUUAUCAGAGUCUGGAAAACUGAAAAGUCCUUGAUUUUAAAUAAGCACUACUCACAACAACUAAACUGUCAUUGGGUUGUCAACAUUAUUCUCAUAUUCAGUCCAAAAUACAGCCCUGUACUAGCUACUAAAAAGAAAAUCAACUCUAUCCCAGCCAAAGCCAGGACAAGCAGUCAAAUCACGUGUUCUAAAAUCGCAGAUCCUUGCAUGCAAAUCUUCCUCAGCUACUCUGACUUAAAAAUCUGGCAUGAGAAAUCUUUUCUGAUAUAAAUUUAUGAGACUUUAGUUCUAAUAUAUUUUUUCUCAUUCUAUUUACAUCCUCCUGUUUGUAGGAAGAGACAAGACUAAAAAUAAAGAGAAGUUAAAUUAAAUUUUUAAAUAUGCAUAAGAAUAUCUAAUGGGCUGAAGACAGCCUCGGGAAGUCAUCAGAGCCCAUAUUUAUCAAAUUAGUUAGUGACUUUGACAGCUCAGCUGCAAGAGGGAUGACCUUUUGCCUCAUUUUCACAGAUCUAAUUUGUCAUUUGGAGUUGAUAUGAAAGGAAGAUGAUUGGACCUAUGUUAAAUCUGUAUAUAGAUUGCUUAGAUUGUGUGUUCUUAAAUGGAGGCAAACUGUGCCCUAAUUUUUGUCUAUUAGUAAUGACGUUUUCGUUCUGCUAACCGUGGUCAAGAAUUUGGAAUUUGGAUCGUCUGUUCUCUUGUAUGAAAUAUGUUAUAUUGUCCAUCUUGUUAAUAAAAUAUAGCUGAUGAA